CAAGAUUGUCUAAAUGCUGUGACGGCUUAAAUAUUUAUUACACACUUUUUUUCUUUUUAAUUUGUCUUCUUAGGUUUUUUCUGGGUCUGUAAAGUAUCCAAAGAACAAAUAUUAACCCGAAGAGAAACAGAAGUAAUAAACUUUAUAAUUAUAUAUAUAUAAGCAAGACUGUCAAAAAUAUUGUUUUAUGUGGUCUUCAGUAUGUAUUUUUAUUACUGAAAUAUGCUCAUUAUUCUUUAUCUUUCUGUUACAGCUAAGCACUGCACUAGCUUCAAUCUAAGUAUGGAAAUAAAUCCAAAUAAUAGCUUAAUUAAUUUCAGAAUGUUAAGAAACUUUCAGUAGUUUUUUUCUGCUAUUUAUAAAAAUACACAAAUUUUAAGAAAAUGUCAGAAUGAGUGUGAAAAGAAAGAAAAGUGCAAAAAAAUGUGUCUUGCUUUGGGCGAGGGGUGUUAGUGGUUGAUUAUGAUGAUAAUGAGAUUUUUCCUCGGACUUUCAGCAUUUCAGUUUUAAGUGACUGGCACAGCGAUUUAAUUUUGGUGAUUGAGGACUGCACAGAAGAGGAAUCAAAGUGAAAGUGGUAGACCAGCUGGAAAUGUCAACAGGAUCGGGACACCUGGAAAAUUUGGCCGCUGACAGCUGACCACCUGAAGUCUUGAUGCAGGUCCAACGAUGUCUGAUGAUGGUUAUGAACAACAUCUUAAUAAAGAUGAAUUCUUCUCAGUU